UUCUACAAAGCAAAAGAAACAAUCAUUAGAGUGAACUGGGAACCUACAGAGUGGGGGAAAAUUUUUGCAAUUUAUCCAUCUGACAAAGGGCUACUAUCCAGAAUCUACAAGGAACUUAAAACAA